UGUCUGGAGGGAACAGGGGAAGCAGAAGCAGGACCACAUCCGGCUCCUCCACGCUCUCCUUGUGUGGUCUCGGACACGUCGCUCUGCGCUUCUGAGACUCAGCUCCCUUGUCUCCGAGGAGAGCCGGCCGUAUCCACUUGGUCAGGCCCCUGGGAGGGCUGCAGGGCGGCUCGGAGGGCCCUUGGUGCUGAGGUCGCCCCCAGCAGGUGUCUACUAGUAGUCCCCCUGACCCUCUUGUCCUUAUUCAGGGAUGAAGAUGGGGACGAUGAUGGUGGUCGGGAGGAGGCUGGUGCUGUCGGUGGAGGCUCCGGAGAGAAAAAGAUGCAGAGAAGCCCUACGAUGGAUCGUGGAGACAGAAUAAAUACAGACUACAGUCUCAGUCUGAGGGAGUUUCAAGGCUCCAAAGCCCAUCCACAGGAAACAGCAAACUCUGUGAGAAAGUCUGGAAAUAGGCCAUGCAGUUAUCGUCAAGAUAACCAAGCCGACGGGAACAAGAUGAGGAAGCCACAUCUGUGGGGAGGGACUCAAACCUCUAUCGCCUGACACCCAGACCCCUUUUCUGUUGCCUAUUUGUUACAUAAGCUGCCAAAUAUCUUCUCUGCUUCCAGAAGUGUGCUUUGUUAAUUGAGAAGCACGGGAAUUCUGUGUGUUUAAUUCUUGAGGUUAUCAGGAGACUGAAGCCUGAAGUCAUCCCACAACCUUGGACGAUAAGGUGAAAACUGUCCUCUUGGAUAAAUGACAGCGGAAGGAUCCUUCCACUAAACAGGCCCUCUGUAAAUAUAAAACAGUUGCUGGAAAAUUAUAUUAGAGAUGAAUUAUCUCCUCCAUUACAGUGUUUCCUUUUCUUUAAUGCAAUUUAGUUCAAGCUAGAGGAACAGAAAGUCUGGGGAGCCGCAUUUCAGGGCUUCGGGAGAGUUACUGGAAGCGAAGACGGCUGGCGAGGAAGGAGAUUCAGAGAUCUGGGGCAGGUUGAGCCGAGGCCUUGUGCCCACGAGGCCUGCGCUUAGGACCCUGGCUGUGCCCACGGGAAAUUGAAUUUUGAGCUCCUUCUGCAUCAUAAAUCCAGGGCAGCUGGCAGCUCUCCAAAGGAGGCUGGAGAGACACUGCGAGAGCAUCUGAGGCCAGCCGGCCCAGCCAGCCCCUGCGGAGCCCGCUGAGGGUGGGCCCCAGGUGUGCAGGUUUGGGGUUCGGGUCCAGCCUGUCACUUUGUUAAUUGUAAAGUGCGCUCAUCGCCAGCAAAGGGGCGCCUCCAUUAUCCACCAGAAAGCUGAAAGGCUGGAAUUGCUCGGAAACGCCUUGGGGCCGACGGGGGACGGGCCGACUUUUGAAGGCGUGCGUCUCCUGAGCACGUGCGAGGAGGACCCUCGGCGCCGGGGGUCUGUAGAAGUGGCAUCCGCCGCCCGGGACCCCGCCAGCGUCUCCAGGCCCCGCGAAGGCAGGGGGCCGAGCAGGGGUCGUCGCGCCGCGGGCCCCCAAGGGUAGCAUCUCAG